rnacentral:rRNA from 1 species
GACGAACGCUGGCGGCGUGCUUAACACAUGCAAGUCGAACGGAAAGGCCCUGCUUUUGUGGGGUGCUCGAGUGGCGAACGGGUGAGUAACACGUGAGUAACCUGCCCUUGACUUUGGGAUAACUUCAGGAAACUGGGGCUAAUACCGGAUAGGAGCUCCUGCUGCAUGGUGGGGGUUGGAAAGUUUCGGCGGUUGGGGAUGGACUCGCGGCUUAUCAGCUUGUUGGUGGGGUAGUGGCUUACCAAGGCUUUGACGGGUAGCCGGCCUGAGAGGGGGACCGGCCACAUUGGGACUGAGAGACGGCCCAGACUCCUACGGGAGGCAGCAGUGGGGAAUAUUGCACAAUGGGCGGAAGCCUGAUGCAGCAACGCCGCGUUCGGGAUGACGGCCUUCGGGUUGUAAACCGCUUUCGCCUGUGACGAAGCGUGAGUGACGGUAAUGGGUAAAGAAGCACCGGCUAACUACGUG